rnacentral:rRNA from 1 species
AGCGAACGCUGGCGGCAGGCCUAACACAUGCAAGUCGAACGAACCUUUCGGGGUUAGUGGCGGACGGGUGAGUAACACGUGGGAACGUCCCUUUAGGUUCGGAAUAACUCAGGGAAACUUGUGCUAAUACCGAAUGUGCCCUUCGGGGGAAAGAUUUAUCGCCUUUAGAGCGGCCCGCGUCUGAUUAGCUAGUUGGUUGAGGUAAUGGCUCACCAAGGCGACGAUCAGUAGCUGGUCUGAGAGGAUGAUCAGCCACAUUGGGACUGAGACACGGCCCAAACUCCUACGGGAGGCAGCAGUGGGGAAUCUUGCGCAAUGGGCGAAAGCCUGACGCAGCCAUGCCGCGUGAAUGAUGAAGGUCUUAGGAUUGUAAAAUUCUUUCACCGGGGACGAUAAUGACGGUACCCGGAGAAGAAGCCCCGGCUAACUUCGUG